rnacentral:rRNA from 1 species
UCGAGGGGUAUAGUAGCAAUAUUAGAGACCGGCGCACGGGUGCGUAACGCUUAUGCAAUCUACCUUUCACAGAGGGAUAGCCCAGAGAAAUUUGGAUUAAUACCUCAUAGUAUAAUAGCUCGGCAUCGAGCAAUUAUUAAAGUCACAACGGUGAAAGAUGAGCAUGCGUCCCAUUAGCUAGUUGGUAAGGUAACGGCUUACCAAGGCUACGAUGGGUAGGGGUCCUGAGAGGGAGAUCCCCCACACUGGUACUGAGACACGGACCAGACUCCUACGGGAGGCAGCAGUGAGGAAUAUUGGUCAAUGGGCGCAAGCCUGAACCAGCCAUGCCGCGUGCAGGAUGACGGUCCUAUGGAUUGUAAACUGCUUUUGUACGGGAAGAAACCCUCCAACGUGUUGGAGCUUGACGGUACCGUAAGAAUAAGGAUCGGCUAACUCCGUGCCAGCAGCCGCGGUAAUACGGAGGAUCCAAGCGUUAUCCGGAAUCAUUGGGUUUAAAGGGUCC